rnacentral:tRNA from 1 species
GGGGGUGUCGUAUAGUGGUAAUACACCGCUCUCCAAAAGCGUAAACGUGGGUUCGAUUCCUACCACCCCUGCCA